AGCAGAAGGCUUCACAAACGGCAAUAGGGUUUCUUCAUAGAUGGUGUUUGUUGCGAUACCCCGCCAUCGCAUGGCUCUGGAUCGAGCCAUGAUUGCUACCACUGCUGCUUUGGCUCCAUAAACUCACGGAUGCUAUCGUGCCAUGGACAUAGAAAAGAUAAAGACGAAGAAAGAAGGAGAAAAAGUGGGGGAAAAAAAAAAGGAAAAAGAGAAGGAACCUAGCGGAGACGAAGAAAGAAGGAGAGAGAGGAAACAAGAAAAAUGUAAAUAAAUAAAAUAAAAA
rnacentral:lncRNA from 1 species